UUGUACUUAGGUAUAUGAUGAACUUUGACUGAUGUGGGAACGAGUGAGUGUUGAGAUGUACCUGAGUGUGUAGUUGCUGAGCAUAAGAGUGGAAGAUAGGUCUACUUGUUGUACCUAUCGAUCGUCUGAUACGAGAUAGUGACUCCCUUUGGCCUUUUGUGUGAAAAGGGGGUGCUUGGGUAUUGAGUCUUCUUUGUAUGGGGGUGAUGGUGUUUGCCUUGUCCUUGUGUGGCAGGAAACAUGUUCCUUAGCCAGGUAGG
rnacentral:lncRNA from 1 species